CCUUGAGACCGGCGCACGGGUAGCGGUAACGCGUAUACAAUCUACUUUACAGAGGGAUAGCCCAGAGGAAAUUUGGAUUAAUACCUCAUAGUAUAGUACUUUGGCAUCAAGGAACUAUUUAAGUCACAACGGCAAAGAUGAGCAUGCGUCCCAUUAGCUAGUUGGUAAGGUAACGGCUUACCAAGGCUACGAUGGGUAGGGGUCCUGAGAGGGAGAUCCCCACACUGGUACUGAGACACGGACCAGACUCCUACGGGAGGCAGCAGUGAGGAAUAUUGGACAAUGGGCGCAAGCCUGAUCCAGCCAUGCCGCGUGCAGGAUGACGGUCCUAUGGAUUGUAAACUGCUUUUGUACAGGAAGAAACCCUUUCACGUGUGGAAGAUUGACGGUACUGUAAGAAUAAGGAUCGGCUAACUCCGUG
rnacentral:rRNA from 1 species